rnacentral:rRNA from 1 species
AAACUUACCAGGUCAAGACAUGGGCGUGAUUGACAGGCUAAUGACUUUUCUCGAUUCCAUGGAUGGUGGUGCAUGGUCGCACUUAGUUGGUGCAGUGAUUUGUCAGGUUUAUUCCGGUAACGAACGAGACCUCGGCCUUGUAAAUAGCUAUGCUGCUUACAGGGACAUUGGCGGCUACGCCAAGGAAGCUCGAGGCAAUUGCAGAUCUGGAAUGCCCUUAGAUGUCCUGGGUCGCACGCGUGCUACAAUGACGCCACGAACGAGCUUGCGUGAUGAAAGUUACGCAUAAUCAGCAGUCGGCGUCUUAAGGGAUAGUCUCUUGUAACUGUGGGACUCCAACUAGGAAUGUCUCGUAAGCACAAGUCAACAUCUUGUGUUGAUUACGUCCCUGCUCUUUGUACACACCGCCCGUCGCUCCUACCGAUCGAGUGUUUAGGUGAAUUUGAUGGACGUAAGGAAGUCAAAUAAACCUGAGCACUAGAGAAGAGAAGUCGAGCCUC